AGAGCAGCGGGUGGUUCCGCAGCUGCCCGCUCCCCUCUCACCGGCCCGUGCGGGGGUGGGGGCGCACGCGGAGCCGUUUCCAUGUGAGCGCCCGGGACAAACACAAACACGGCCGCCCCCGCCGCCCACGCACCGGGCGGGCACCGGCGGGGGGAUGGAGGCUUCUGCGGGGCGUCCCGGGGCACUGUCCCCUCAGCCCACAGCAGCGGGCGAAGCUGUUACCCCGCUGCCUGCGGGGCCGGCGGCACCUUAAUGCCUCAGCCGUGUCAGAAGCACUGCACGUCGCCCAGCAGAGCAACUGUUAUCCUUGUGCGGGAAAGGAAAGCUAGCUGGGCGCUUAUGUUAUCGGAGGAUGUGCUUACUCUCCGACGUGCCUCAUUUUGGGCACCCUGGCCCCUCGCAGGCAUUUCAGGAGUUCCUCUGCUCCUCUCCAAGCCUCUCUGUUCGCUUCACCUUGCGUUCCGGGUCGUGGUAGCAGAUGGGCCAGGCCACCGCCAAAGCAGGGAGUGGGAAAGCUGAGGGGGGUGAAACCCCAUCACAGAGCUGAGGGUAGGGGAGCUGCCUUGGCCAUCUCCCUUCGACAGCAUGAGGACUCUCCUCAGCUCCUGGCAGAUCAGCAGGAGUUGAGAGCACUGCUUUCUAUUUCCUCCUCCCCAUCCCUGUCGUACAGAGAGGGCUUGAUGGUGAGUGAUCGUGAGGGAGACAGCUGGCCAUCCUGCCAUAGGGAAUGAAAACAAUAUUCUGCAGAAGCAAAGCAUUGCAGAUCUCUGAUUUCCCUGUUAACGUGGAUAAAAGUUCAUUGAGUCACCACGACUCAGUAAUUGUCUCUGGUCAUCUGAGGCACAUGUCAUGCUAAUGAGCCACACUUGUGGCUCAUUACUGUAAGUCUGUAACUUGUGCCCCUAUGAAAAUAAAUAGCCUGGCUUGCAUAUGUUAUUUUGUAAGGGAAUUGGUCUCUCAGUUGCAGUCUCCCUGCUAUCACUUACCAGAGUUCCAGAAAUGAAUGGUGAUCCCAGAGAAGCUGUGGGUGCCCCAUCCCUGGCUGAAUGGAGCUCUGAGCAGCCUGAUGUAGUAGGUGGCAGCCCUGCCUAUGGAGCUCUGAGAUCCCUUCCAACUCAAACCAUUCUGUGAUUCUGUGAUUCAAUUAAACCACAGGAUCUCAAUUUCAUAGCGCUGUAUAUCAUGCAUUUAGUACAUUUUAAUUUCCCAUUUUCACUCCUAAAUCUAAAUGAUCACUUUCUUACUCUAGAACACAUGCUAAAGCUGCACAAACACAAAACCUCUACCAAACCCCAAAGGUCUUCCCUCCUCAAGAGCAAACUUCACUAUUCUGCUCCAGGAACCUGCAAGAACUUCCCGCAUCCCACUGUGCUGUGCUAUACCUGAAGGAAGGUGUGCUCACCCCGCAUCCACCUGCUCUUCCCUCCUCCACUCACACCCACCCACAUGUCCAGUGACAUCCUUGUGGUGGCUGUCCUGCAGAGCAGCACUCUCACUGUCUUCCUCACUGCCCACAGUCCUGUUCCAGUUUCUCUCACCCUUUCCCAUUAGCGUCACUGUUUCACUCUAGUUUAUUCUCUAGCAGCAUUGCCUAAAUGUUUUCUGUUUGAUAGCAUUUUUUCUUCAAUUCCUAUAAAACAACAUUCUUAGAGUUUAUAAAGGCUGCCACAACCCAGCAGUGAAUAACAAAAUAGUAUUUGCUUAUUACGUUCGCUUUAUUUUAUACAGCACAGUGAAAGACUGUCAUCAAUCCCUGAAAUCACCAUCUCAAUGCUGCUCCAGAGUGCCAGGAGCAGUAACACAGACUGCCCACAUCCAAAACCUUUCAGUCCCAUUUCGCUGAUGGAAGAGCCAAGGGGGAUUUGUGGAGCACGCACUGUGAUGCAAUAAGGUACAGAUUAGCUGGGUAUGGCAGAAGAAGAACAGAGGUCUUCCAAAGAUGUCCAAUUGUACAGAUCCAGGAGAAGUUGGGCUGAGGUGAUGUAUACAGCUGCUUCACCACAGUGUCACUGGACAGCUGCAGAUACAAGAAAAGUAUGUAUAUGCAGACACUGAAAAGCAGCUGAGUCCCAGAGGCAGCCCCUGCAUCUCCCCUGCAAUGCCACCAGAUGCCACCAGGAGGAUUACAGCCCCCAUGACCCAAAAGACAACAACCUAGAAGGAUUUUGCCGAUUCUCAGGAAGCAUUAUAUACAUACAGCCUACUGUUACUCACUGCAUCAAUUUUCAGCCUGCUGUCAGAAGAUGAUAUACAGGAGAUCAUCACUCAUCUUACAGGUCUGUGACUCUCAAUUCUAAAGAAUGAAAGGUGUAUAAUAUAUAUGCUAUGUAUGGUGCUAAGAUUUUACCUACAGUUAGCAUGUAUUGAGAUGGAUGCUUGCAAUUGCAUAUUCUUCUGAUUACUGUGACAUUUCUGAUACAAAGUUAAAGGGCAUCAAGGAAUACUAUUAAGCAGUUCACUGCUUAUGAUUCUAGUGGUGACAUAGAAAAACUUGACUGUAAGCCUUGUUCUGCCUUAAUAAAACCUACUUAUUCACUAAUGAUUCACUGGAGGAUUUGAUUUUUUAUAUGACUUCAUGUUCUGUCUUUCCUGGCAUGUUUUGUUUAUAUUCUUCAUUCUCUACUUGAGCUAUUUUCUAGCAUAGUCUUUCACUGAGGCCAGCAUCUUUUCACAAACUAUGCUUCCUAGAUAUCAUUUUUUCCAGCAGCUGUAGCUGGUUUCCGAACAGCUCAAGGGAUGACAUUGUGGA